rnacentral:lncRNA from 1 species
AAAAACUGAGCAGUCAUUUCAGCAGUUUCUUUUGCAGUGGAGAUGAGCAAGCAGUUAGAGUUCUACCUACUUGGAGGAAACUGAUAAGGAUCCCUGGCUUUUUAUUGAACCUGAUUAACAUCACUGUUUUUUUUUUUUUUUUUUUUUUUUUACCAGAAAAGCAACCUUGUAACUGCAAACACCAUGUUGAUAGAAUUGAGUUUUGCCUUAGCACUAAGGGUAAAAGUUAAAUAAGAAUAUGAAUAAGUAAAAUAAACUGCAGGGCAUUUUCUUAAGUGAAGCAACUCAGAAACAGAAAAUGACAUACCACAUGUCCUCACUUAUUAGUAGAAGCUAAGUAAUGUGUACACAUGGACAUAGAGUAUGGAAUAAGAAUUCAUGGAUUAUUUUGUGUUUAUUCUCUUAGAAAGUCUCUCAAAGACUUUUUAAAAUUAAAAAUUGCUCCUUAGUGUUGACAUAUAUGUGAGCCUGGUAAAGGUCAGAUCAUUUAUCACAGUUUCCAGUUCACAGCAGAGAAGGAGGAUUGCCUAAAAGAGACAAUUCCCUUUACAGAUGAAAAUUGAAACUCAGAAAGCCUGAUUUGUCCACUUACAACUAAUAAAGAGGAAGAUUUAAAUAUCUAAACACAGUCUCAUCAGUGAAAUCUACAGUUCUUCCUAACUCAUUUAGCUUGGAGCUAUCCAUCCUUGACUUCAUUAUUCCUACUGCCUCGUGGUGGCUAGAACUUUAGUAACAGGAUAGUCUCAGAUUUAGGCAACAACCUCCUGGCUUCAUCAGAACUACCUAUGAGCCAACACAAAUGGGAGCCAAAGAUCAAGAAAGCAAAAAGUGCUCACUAGAAUCCAGUUCUAUACAGGAAAUACGUACCAGCAUAAGAAAUGUAUAGCUUAUUUUUGUUGGGUUUUUCUAUCAGAGUACUUUUCUGAAGAAAAAUAAUACAAACCUUCCACAAAUCCAGAGUUGACAGCUUCACCUUGAAAAUGAACCACAAAAGGCAUUUCAAGUGUAACUAAUAACUAGAGACUGUUCAAUGAAAACUGUUUAUUCUCUUCCUAAAUUACUCAAAUUCACUUUUAAAAUAAUCUGUAAAGGCAGAUUGUCUUGAAAAACUACCAAUUUUUAUUUUCUUUGAAGAUAAACACGUGGCUAAGAGAGGAAUAUUCCUUCAACACAGCUGACAAUUAUUUACUAUCUGCAAUGUUCACAACACAACAUUUAAUAUUAUGGAGUCAACAUAUUAAACUAAAUAUUUUAAAUGUCUUUAGUUAUACACCAAAGGUAUGAAAACUAAGUCUCAUGAUUUGC